rnacentral:lncRNA from 10 species
GAAACUGUUUUGUUGUGGAGAUUUUGUUCAAGCCAUGGAUCACCUCUGGUUCGUGUUUGGUGGUGGAGGGAAGAUCUUAAUUACUAACCCUACGCAUUUCUCUUUUUUUCUUUCUUUCUUUUUUUUUUUUUUUCUGGUUUUGCUUUUGGCUGUCAGCUAAGUAGAGGAAGGUAAGAGUCUUUGUUUGAAUUAGAGUGCCAAAAGACGGAAUAAAGAUGAAACAGUGUUUCAGUAUGCAGCCUGAGCUUUCAGCUGAUUCUCGUAGCCCUGAUCCUACCAUAUCCAGUACUAGUGGCACAGGACCGCUUCACAUUCUAUGAUUGCCUGAGGAAUAAAUUAAUGAGGUUACUGAGACACUGAACAUUUGCAUAUUCACGGAUGCUUAUUAGGUAGAAAGUGAAAGCCAGGUGCACUGAAUUUGGGGGAUAGAGAAUUUGUUAAGAAGUCACAUCUUUCCGUCCUCCAGAAAAGGGGUGUCCUGUCACUAAAAAUAAUAGGCAGGCAAAACUCCUGCUUAGUGAAUAUCUGAACAAUUAUGAUAUAAUGGAAAGAUAAGGCAAAAGAGGGUCUUGCUUGAAAGCAACAGAGAAACCAAGGCACUGCCCUUGUUAUAAGGAGACCUGGACGUGGUGGUUCUGGAGCAUAAAGGAGGCACAUGUUAUUUGCUGUCUUUGGAUUUUAUGCUUUAAUUAUGCUGGUGGUGUACACAGCUGAACAUGAUGCCUUUGUACCUAAUGCAAAAUUACCAAUUUAAGAAGACCUUUACAUUUGUAAAUAUUAUUAUUGACAGGCCACCCAUCCAAACUGGAACGGGGAAAAGCUUUUCUAAGAAAAUGGUGUCGAAACCUGAAUCACAGAAUUAGGCUUGACUGUCUCUCUAAGGGACAUCAGUACAUGGUUCUGCUGUUGGUGAUUUCUGCUGGGGCUGUGUGUGGAAGCACAUUGUUUGAGCUAUUUGUAUCUCAUUAUUGUGAGAAGUUUUUAUGCUGCUCUGGGUCAUGGCUUGGAGACUGCCUCCUCAGAGCUUAAAUGGGCAGAUUUCAUAUUCUUCCCAUCCUUGGGAAUACUUCAUAAAACAGAAUUACAAGAGUCCAUGUUUUUUUCGGAGCACCGUGCAGUGGGAGAGCCUGUCUUGCCUUUUUUUUUUUUUUUUUUUUUUGCUGUCGUUUUAUACAGGUAUUUUUUUUUCUUUCUAUUUCUUUUUUCUUUUACUUUUUAUUUCCUCUUUAAAGAAAAUGAUUGGCAGCACUCAACCUCAAGGAACUGAUCUAUCAAAACCAAGCUGGGAUAAGUAUUUCUUUGAGAAAUAAUAUAUAUUUACCAACAGGCUCUAUUCUGCCCCCUUGUUUCACAGCACCUUGAAUAUCACUUCCUUUUCCUGCCCAAAGCAGGAGGUAACCCUGUAUUAAAAGCAUAGUAGGUGUGUGUGUGUACAAUACACACAUACAGCACACAUGUCUCUAUUUAGAGAUUCCAUGAUAUGUGUUCUAUAUACACUUUACAGUCCCUUUUCUUAAUGUCAAAAAUAUAAUUUCCAGCGUCUAAAGAGUGUUUUCAAAGACUUUUGCCCUAUUUUUUAAAAUAGUGUCUAAAUAUGAUUAAGUGUCUUCCCAGAGAAAAGUCAAAGAGGCUCCUAGUGUUAAUUUCCAUAUUGCUUAAGACUUAAGCUUUUAAUUUAUUUUAUCAAGGUUGAGGGAGUAUAGUAAUUGUUGGAACAACGCCCUUCCAAAAGAAAUCGCCUGCACUUGUUUUUAAGUUCAAUUUGUUUUCUCACACAGAUUUUUGAUACACUCUUAAAUAAACUAGAAAUCACAAUUAUUUUAAUGUGGCAGAGUUGUAACCAGGAAAUUGCAUAUAUUUUCAUAAACUAGGCUGUUAUAGAUUUAUUAAUAUUUAUUAAUAACAUUAUUUUAAGAAAUUUUUUUAACGUCUUUCAACCCUGAAAGGGCCUGCUUGAAACAUACACGGCAGCAAAAUCACUGGAGUCCAGGGUUUUUGUCACACACACACACAGCACAGAUUUUUUUGAUUAUGUAGAUUUCUUUUCCUACUGCAGUUUCAUAUGCAAAGCAUGCAUCAGCCACAUCCAUGCUAUCUCCUAAAGCAGUCAUUCUGAAACCCAAUCUGGGGACAGUGCAGACUAAAUAAAAUUUCAUUUUGAUUUGGCCUCCCGCUGCGAAUGGGACUGCUUUGUCUCAGCCGACAGAACCAGCAAGCCAGAAAGGGAAUGAAGACAUUUGGAGAAGAAGCGUUUACUGAAAGGAGAUUCCUGGGCUGGAGGAAAACCAUGAUCUACAGUUCAUGUUGACAGAUAUUGUAUUUUUGGUCCUAGAUCUGACUUUUGAAAUGACUUAUCACAAAUUCAAAUUUAGCAAUCAUGAGUGAAGUACCCACGAUGUGCUAAGCAUCUACCUCUGCAGAUAGAAGAACACUUACUGUUCCUGAGCAUGGGAGGGAAUAGAAGUUCCUGGGUCCUGGCCUCACCUCAUCAGGCACUGCCAAAUUUGACACCUCCUUCCUGUUCACGGCAGUCCUUUGCGAUAGGGUAUUAGAUGCCACCAAGUAGCUGCAUAACUCACCCAUUUGGUCAGAGCCUGGGUCUAAGCCAGGUCUGACAGACUCCAAAGCAAGCCCUGUUUACAGCAUGACUGGGAUCCAGUGGGUAAGACCAACCUGUCAAUGCCCAAGUGCAGAUGCAAUAAUAGUGCUUCAACUGAUUGUUGCAAACCCCUCAUGAGGGAUGCCAAAUCCCAGUGCAGAUGGUAACACAGGCUAUUUUUCACCUCCAACCUCUAAUAUCCUUUCUUUCUUUCUUUCCUUUUUUUUUUUUUUUUUUUUUUUUUGAGAUAGAGUCUCCUCUGUCACCCAGGCUGGAGUGCAACAGCACGAUCCCAGCUCACUGCAACCUCCACCUCCUGAGUUCAAGCGUUUCUCUCGCCUCAGCCUCCCGAGUAGCUGGGAUUACAGGCACCCGCCAUCAUGUCCAGCUAAUUUUUGUAUAUUUGUAGAGACGGGGUUUCACCAUGUUGGCCAGACUGGUCUUGAACUCCUGACCUCAGGUGAUCUGCCCGCCUCAGCCUCCCAAAGUGCUAGGAUUACAAGUGUGAGCCACCACGCCCGGCCCCAAUAUUCUUUCUUACUAGACACUGUGUAAGCUAAUUAUUCAGCAAGUAUUUUGCACUGAACUCUAAAUAGGUAAGUAUUUUGUGUCCAUUUUACAGACAAGAGAAAUAAAAUAGGUAAAGUAUUUCCCCAAAGCUAUGAUAAAUGAAUCCCAUAGCUAGAAAUGGCAGAAAACCCAUGGAAACUUCUAUGGGGAGUGGAUGUCUGCCUUACCUUGGCACAAUGCUUGGUUCUCAGAUAUCAUUUCAGUGACAUUGCCAAAUGGGAGAAACCAUGUCUGGUACACGGGACUCAAGCUGCCUCAAAAUAUCCUGAAUGCAUUUUUUCAGGGGAGAAAAUCCAUUUGAAUAAGAAUAGCUAGUUAUAGCUUAUUAUGUGCCAGACACUAUUCAAAGUGUUUAAUGUGUAUUAACUUCUCAAAACCACUCUAUAAGUUAGGUACUAUGAUUUCCAUCUCCAUUUUACAGACGAGGGAACUGAGCUGUCAAAACUAAGUGACUUGAUUGAGGCCAUGCAGCUGGCGAGGGGAGGACCAGGAUCUGAACCCAACUGGGUCUCCCAAGCCUGGGCCACUGAACCAUUUCACCUCUUGGAAAAACUUAAUGGUCAGAGUGGCCCACCCAGUCCAUGGACAGCAUGGAGUGGUAUGGUGGAAGAGGAGGGAAGAAAACCUGUGUAUUGUAAGUCAUAUUCUUCUAUGGUGUGAAGGUUAACGUAAGUUUUAAGAAAGUUUUUUUUUUUAAUUUUAUUAUAUGAUCUUGCUCUAAAGGGAUGUAAAUUCAGA